rnacentral:rRNA from 1 species
GGAUGAAUGCUAGCGGCGCGCUUAACGCAUGCAAGUCGAGCGAUGAGGCUCCCUUCGGGGAGUACAUCAGCGGCAGACGGGUGAGUAACACGUAGAUAACCUGCCCUCAAGACGGGGACAACCGGUGGAAACAGCGGCUAAUACCCGAUAUGCUCACAGGAUCGGGAGGUCGAGUGAGGAAAGCGCCCCUUCGGGGGAGAGUGUUUGAGGAGGGAUCUGCGGCCCAUCAGCUAGUUGGUGAGGUAACGGCUCACCAAGGCGAAGACGGGUAGGGGGUGUGAGAGCAUGGCCCCCCACAAUGGGACUGAGACACGGCCCAUACUCCUACGGGAGGCAGCAGCGGGGAAUAUUGCGCAAUGGACGGAAGUCAGACGCAGCGACGCCGCGUGGGUGAGGAAGGCCUUCGGGUUGUAAAGCCCUUUUCAGGGGAGCGAGAAAGGACGGUACCCUUGGAAUAAGCGUCGGCUAACUACGUGCCAGCAGCCGCGGCAAGACGUAGGACGCAAGCGUUAUCCGGAUUUACUGGGCGUAAAGCGCCUGUAGGCGGUCAAGUAAGUCGGAUGUGAAAAGCCCCGUGCUCAACGCGGGGAAGCCAUUCGAUACUGCGUGACUAGAGAACGGCAGAGGGAAACGGAAUUUCUGGUGUAGCGGUAAAAUGCGCAGAGAUCAGAAAGAACACCGAUGGCGAAGGCAGUUUCCUAGGCCGCAUCUGACGCUGAG